rnacentral:misc_RNA from 1 species
GGUGUCAUGUAUGGUGGCAAUGUUGGCCUUGGAUACUUGAAGGCGAUUUCGAGAGGAUCUCGAACGAGUAGCAGAUUGACCAUGUUGAACAACGGGAAUGAAAGUCCAACUAGGGUUCCGCCUAUAAUAAUGGCUGCGUGCUUGUUUCGCCUUGUUGCCCAGUACGUGAGGUCUAACAGCAUUGCUGAUGGAAUCCAGACUGGAGUGACAACGAAGUCAUACGGGUAUCCCAGUGCAAACCAUGCUCCCUUUGCCACCCACGUGUAGAUGGUCAUAAUGGUUGCAUAGUAGGUUGCAGUUCCAGGAACUCCAGUGAAGAGCAUGUAGUAUAUUGCUCCUACUGCGAGCAUCGUGGACUGACCGAUUGAGAAUACGACGAAUGAGGUCCAUGCCCAAUCUG